UUAUAUAAUUGUAUAUAACACUGUUAUUAUGUGUACAUAUUGUUGAAUAAUUUCUAUAAAUGUCUUCUUGACACUGUAUGUUACAUGUGAGACAAUUUUAUCUCACAUAUUUGAUUAAAAAUAUAAAAAUAUGACAUUUUUUGUUGAGUCCACCUAUCCUUAAAUUUAUGGUUUGAUGAGUCUGACCUCUAGAUACAUACCUACAUCUAACACCCAUACCCAAGUCCAUGUAACAAAACAUAAAUAUUAAUAAGUUUUUUAUUUUUUGUGACCACAAAAAAACGAACGCCAUAAGUAGGUUAGGCAGUUGCAAAUAAUUUGUGACUGUUGCUUUGCCGUAGCAAAUAGUAUUUGCCACCCCACAUUCGCGCCCCCUAUUUUCCGACACAUGGUGGUCGCAAAAGGUCUUUUGUGAUCACAUUUCUAUUAUUUGUGUCGGCUCGUGGCGGUCGCAAAAAUUUUUUUUUUUAGUAGUGUGACAUGAAUCAAAAUAUGUAUAUAUGUCUAUCUUUACACCAAGAUGAGAGUCCCACAUUCUCAUUCUAACUGGUGUGCCAAAUUUGCCAUUUCUGAAUUAAGAGCUUUAUAAGGAGAUAUCAUAUUACCUGGGCCUUAAUGACUACAAAAUUUCUUAGACUUAAUGGAUGAUCGAUUUUAUUAGCUCCAAGUUCAUUUAAAUACAAUUUUUAUUUUUUCUUGCUAAUAGCCAUUUUAUCGAAGGUUUUGAAUUUGAGCAUAAAAUAAAUAUUGACAUGCACAAGGGAUGGUUUGAUAAGCUAAUCCACAGGAUUAGUUUUCCAAGUAUAAAUAAUUUUAUGCAUGUAUACACUGCCUACAAUGAAAUUGUUGGAGAGUGAUAUCCAAUGAUUGUGUUACCAACCAACCAAACAAAGCCUUAAGUCCCAUCAGAUGGGGUCGGCUAUAUGAAUCAUUCUUAUCCAUUUGACUCUAUCAAAAAUCAUUUGGUUAGUCAAAUUAAGAAGAUUCAUAUCUUUAUUUACUAUAUUAGCUCACGUUAAUUUAGGUUUCUUCCUUCCUCUAACACUUCCUAUAUCCAGUGAUUGUUGUUCUCAUUUAAAAGGCACUUGUGCAUACAUCAUUGAUAUGCUUGCCAAUAUGUUUGGGUGAGCUUGAUCAUUGAUAUGCUUGUUAAUAUGUUUGGGUAAUCUUGAGCGUGAGACUAGGAUUAAUACAACAAUAUCACAUCCAUUGUAUGCUCAAUUAGUCACAUUGGUACAUUGAAAACGUAGAGAAUAUGUACUCAAACAUGCAACAUAUUGGCAACACAUAUUUAUCUAGUGUGUAAGUGCCUAUGAACAACAGUCACUGAAUGCAUGGGAGUUGAUAUCGUAUGUUACAAAUUUAUAGUAAAUUGAGAAACAAUGGAAUUCCUAUCAAUAGAAUCCAGAAGUCCCCUCCAACGAAAAUUUGUAGUGUAAAGUUAGCUAUUCUGUGGAGCUAUUAAUUACCAUUGCCAAUUGUAUUCUUCCUUUAGUGCUAACUAUGGUUCUCUGUUCUCAUACUAUGCAUAGUAAACUUUGUCUAGACUAUGGCCACUUCAUUCUAACCAACCCUUGGGAUCAAUUAUGUCAUCAAGGAAGCUUUGCAUGAUGAUCAUUCUUGAGAAAGUUUUCAUGUUAUAUGAAGCUGUCUUUUAAUUAUGAAAAGAAUGGACUCUUUUGUGCUGCAAGAAUUUUCAGGCGAUCAUCACUUUUGUCCUGACACAAUUCUCAUCUUUGAAUAGGUGUCUUCACAAUGGGGGUUUGUAAUCAGUCUAAAUUAAUCAAAGCAUGAUUAAGAUCAAAAUUUCUGUAUGAUUUUUGUGGUCCCCUCUCCCUUGGAAUUGGAAGCAAUCAAAUUUCCAAGAAGAGUAGCUGUUCCCCUAAUGCUGAAGUUGCCCUACUUAUAUGAACAAAUACUUAUAUGAACAAAGGGAUAGGAAUGACAUAUAAGCAAAUAAUGCUCUUGGAGUCGUGCUUGGUGCGAACAAUAUAGACAUGGAUAAUGAUGUACAAAAUUGACCUUAAAACUAUUUUAUUGUGAAAUAUCUUUAUAGGUUAUAUGUAAAUAGUGAAGAAUAUGCUUUGAAACAUUUGAUGCGUCUAUUUAAAGAAUAAAAAACUCUACUAUGAGAUUUUUUUA